CAUCUAUAAAAGGGUUGCCACAACCCACAGGUUGAGAACCACAGCUUUAUGCCCUAAACAAGGCAAGCCAAACAUUUUCUAUAAAAACCAGACAGUGAGGUGACCAGGUAGGCCAACAACCUAUUGACAUUCCCACUCUCUUAGCUCCCUCAGGCUGACUGCCCUGGCCCAGACCACAGGACACACCGGACAGAAGACCAGCCUCAAAACACUUCCAAAGUCACCGUUCUGCAAGAAAGCCUGGCAGACUCAGGUCCUCGUCACCUGCACGAGCGCUGUUCAUCCAUGCCUAGCAUUGUUCAGAGCCAAGGAAGCUGGAUCAAUGGAAAGGAGAGAAACAAUUCAUAACAGACUCUCGGAAAGUGGGACUCAGACAUAGGCACUAUAUAUUUCUACAAGUUUCCAAUUCUACUGAGCCAUCAGUUGAGAAGUACUAGGGUGCUAGGAUGACAGACCGAUGUGCCCCAGAGCACUCGGUUUUUGAACUGCUGGGGAUCUGGGGAUGAACCAAAGCUUAUGGAUGGUGAACACUGGCUCAGCUGAGCUACACCCCAGCCCUCGAAGGUAUCCUCCAUUUCAUCAGAUUGGUGUGUUUUCCCUUUUGUCAAGUAACAGCACAUUCCUUGCUUCUUAUAGUCCGUGUAAAGUCUCUCUCUCAACUGAGCGACACCCUACCCCUCGAAGGUAUCUCUCCAUUUCAUCAGAUUGGUAUGUUUUCCCUUUUGUCAAGUAACAGCACGUUCCUUGUGUCUCACAGUCCAUGUAAAGUCUAAGUUCCCCAUGGCUUUCCCAGUCAGAAGUGUCCUAUGCGAUGAGUCAGCAGUUCCCAUUACUUGUUACUUGAGGAUGAUGCCUGCCUUAUAUGGCUUGUGUGAACACUGGGAGAGAGCAGGUAUCAAUUUUUCUCUAGAAUUGUAGGACUGCGUGAACUUGACACUGCAGGAAGCAAUUCUCCCACUGGUCUAUAGAAUGAAGCCCUGAUGCAGGGAAGCACAGCUGAGAAAGAGAAGGAAACACAUUUGAAGGUCACAUCAGUGCAGAAGGUAUUAGCCGUGCCUAAAGAAAGAGCAGCCCUCCUUGCACGAGACGUUUUGACUUGAGAAAGCUCGAGUUGGAUUUUGUCAUUGGAGACCCAAUAAAGAGGAAAUUGGUGAACAGAUGAGGCCAAAGAACAGUUUUAUACUUUUAUUUUUCUCCCUUGUGUCCUUUUAACUCUUGCUUUGCUCUGAAGGAGGAAUAUAGUCUUUGGCUUUUUUCUGGUCAAAUUCUUUGUUCUUGACUUCUCUUAGAACUCAUCGAUAAAGCUGUCCUUGGGUAGGUUCAUACGGGUAUAGCAGUUCCUCCUAAGGCUGGUAGGAUGGGUCAAUGCGUCUCUUCUCCGAGCUUGGCAGGCAUUCUGAAAUUCCCCUUCUACUUGCAGUUUUUAAGACUCUUGUACUUAAGGACUCCCUGUGCAUUCCCCUUUCUCUCUUCCUUUUCCUUCUACCCAGUAUCUCAUCAAAAUGAUGGACAAAACUGCUAGGGCAAACCAGGCCAGUGUGAGGGGCUGUGCAGUUAAAGGCUUCCUCGUGAAGUCUGGCAAGGAUGUACAUUCACUGAAAAACUACAUCACAGGGACAACACACAAGAGAACCAAUGUGCUGACGUCAGUCUUUCAUGUCUUUAUGGCCAGUGAAAAUUCAGCAUUUGCACAUAUUCUUCUCAUCCAAUCAAAUCAUUCAGUUUAAUAACAGGGCACAGAGAACAGAAUGAUUCCAGGGUGAGAGGAAAUGCCACAAAAUUUACAAAGCACAGGGCUUUCAGUUCAUCAUAUGUACUCCAAUUGCACUUAAAGGUGUUUGCUUAUAGAACACUUGAAAAAUCAGUAGAGCCUCCUACGCAUGGUGGCUUCCAGUGCUUUACAGGGAUGGAAACUACGUGUUCUUAUAUCCACGUUUGUGUAAGAUUUUUAAAGGCAAUAUUUUUGUAUCUUUUUUUAAAAGACCCCUGAUAUACAUAUCCCAAGAUAUGUAUAUCAGCUACUUUUCUGUUGCUGU
rnacentral:sRNA from 1 species